rnacentral:rRNA from 2 species
UCCGUAGGUGAACCUGCGGAGGGAUCAUUACCGAGUUUUCAACUCCCAAACCCUUAUGUGAACCUACCUAUCGUUGCUUCGGCGGACUCGCCCCAGCCGGACGCGGACUGGACCAGCGGCCGCCGGGGACCAUCAAACUCUUGUAUUAUCAGCAUCUUCUGAAUACGCCGCAAGGCAAAACAAAUAAAUUAAAACUUUCAACAACGGAUCUCUUGGCUCUGGCAUCGAUGAAGAACGCAGCGAAAUGCGAUAAGUAAUGUGAAUUGCAGAAUCCAGUGAAUCAUCGAAUCUUUGAACGCACAUUGCGCCCGCCAGCAUUCUGGCGGGCAUGCCUGUUCGAGCGUCAUUUCAACCCUCGACCUCCCUUUGGGGAAGUCGGCGUUGGGGACCGGCAGCACACCGCCGGCCCUGAAAUGGAGUGGCGGCCCGUCCGCGGCGACCUCUGCGUAGUAAACCAACUCGCACCGGAACCCCGACGUGGCCACGCCGUAAAACACCCAACUUCUGAACGUUGACCUCGAAUCAGGUAGGACUACCCGCUGAACUUAAGCAUAUCAAUAAGCGGAGGA